rnacentral:rRNA from 1 species
GCUUAGAAGCAGCCACUCAUUAAAAGAGUGCGUAAUAGCUCACUGGUCGAGUGACCCUGCGCCGAAAAUUCAACGGGGCUAAAUUAUACACCGAAGCUUGGGAUACCGCAAGGUAUGGUAGGAGAGCGUUCUGUAAGGAGUGAAGUGAGAGCGAAAGCGUUCGUGGACUUUACAGAAGUGAGAAUGCCGGAAUGAGUAGCGAGAAAUAUGUGAGAAUCAUAUUGGCCGAAAGUCUAAGGUUUUUGGAGGAAGGUUCGUCCGCUCCAAGUAAGUCGGGAGCUAAGGUGAGGCCUAACGGCGUAGCCGAUGCACAUACGGUAGAUAUUCCGUAACCACCGAAAGAUUUAAACACAGGGACACCUUGAAAGGGCAUAUCCCGGGAGUUGGUUUACCCGGGCGUAAGGGAUCGAAAUUUGAGUAGAGAAGUAUGUUUGGACGAGGGCGAGAAAAGCUGUGUGUAUAUUUUAGGUGCCCGUACCGCAAACCGACACAGGUGGACAGGAAGAGGAUUCUAAGGCCAACGGGAGAAGGGUAAUUAAGGAACUCGGCAAAUUGACCCCGUAACUUAGGGAUAAGGGGUGCUCAUAGGAAUAUGAGCCGCAGAGAAUAGGCCCAGGCAACUGUUUAUCAAAAACACAGGUCUCUGCCAAAUCGAAAGAUGAAGUAUAGGGGCUGACACCUGCCCGGUGCUGGAAGGUUAAGAGGAGGAGUGAGAGCUCCGAAUUGAAGCCCCAGUAAACGGCGGCCGUAACUAUAACGGUCCUAAGGUAGCGAAAUUCCUUGUCGGGUAAGUUCCGACCCGCACGAAUGGUGUAAUGAUCUGGGCACUGUCUCAAUUACCCGCCCGGCGAAAUUGUAGUACCGGUGAAGAUGCCGGUUACCCGCGACAAGACGGAAAGACCCCAUGGAGCUUUACUGCAGCUUGAUAUUGGGUUUCGGUAAUCUAUGUACAGGAUAGGCGGGAGACUAGGAAGUAAAGGCGCCAGCUUUUACGGAGUCGCCCUUGGGAUACCGCUCUUAGAUUGCUGGAAUUCUAACCUGCGGCCAUGAAACUGGUCGGGGAACAUUGUCAGGCGGGCAGUUUGACUGGGGCGGUCGCCUCCUAAAGAGUAACGGAGGCGCUCAAAGGUUGGCUCAGCACGGACGGAAACCGUGCCUCUGAGUGUAAACGCACAAGCCAGCCUAACUGCGAGGAUGACGGUCCGAGCAGUAACGAAAGUUGGAGUUAGUGAUCCGGCGGUAUG